GACGAACGCUGGCGGCGUGCCUAAUACAUGCGAGUAGAACGCUGAAGGAGGAGCUUGCUUCUCCGGAUGAGUUGCGAACGGGUGAGUAACGCGUAGGUAACCUGCCUGGUAGCGGGGGAUAACUAUUGGAAACGAUAGCUAAUACCGCAUAACAGUAGAUGUUGCAUGACAUUUGCUUAAAAGGUGCAAUUGCAUCACUACCAGAUGGACCUGCGUUGUAUUAGCUAGUUGGUGAGGUAACGGCUCACCAAGGCGACGAUACAUAGCCGACCUGAGAGGGUGAUCGGCCACCCUGGGACUGAGACACGGCCCAGACUCCUACGGGAGGCAGCAGUAGGGAAUCUUCGGCAAUGGACGGAAGUCUGACCGAGCAACGCCGCGUGAGUGAAGAAGGUUUUCGGAUCGUAAAGCUCUGUUGUAAGAGAAGAACGAGUGUGAGAGUGGAAAGUUCACACUGUGACGGUAUCUUACCAGAAAGGGACGGCUAACUACGUG
rnacentral:rRNA from 1 species